rnacentral:rRNA from 1 species
UACGUAGGGGGCUAGCGUUGUCCGGAAUCAUUGGGCGUAAAGAGCGCGUAGGCGGCCCGGUAAGUCCGCUGUAAAAGUCCAGGGCUCAACCCUGGAAAGCCGGUGGAUACUGUCGGGCUCGAGUCCGGAAGAGGCGAGUGGAAUUCCUGGUGUAGCGGUGGAAUGCGCAGAUAUCAGGAAGAACACCAACGGCGAAGGCAGCUCGCUGGGACGGAACUGACGCUGAGGCGCGAAAGCGUGGGGAGCGAACAGG